rnacentral:misc_RNA from 1 species
CCUUCUUCCCCCUUUCUCCUUAGGUGAACCUGCGGAGGGAUCAUUACAGAGUUCAUGCCCUACCGGGUAGAUCUCCCACCCUAUGUUAUUAUUACUUUGUUGCUUUGGCGGGCCGUUAGGCUCCGGCCCGACUACCGGCCCCGGCUGGUAAGCGCCCGCCAGAGGACCCAAAACCCUGAAUAUUAGUGUCGUCUGAGUACUAUAUAAUAGUUAAAACUUUCAACAACGGAUCUCUUGGCUCUC